UUUUUUAUCAAGCAAUUACCUCGGCCUUCUCGACUAUAGGUCUUUCAGGUAAAGUUCCGCACAACCUUGGUUGCUUGAUUCUGCUGCAUUCAAUCAUAUGCAAGUGAUGCCAGUUUGUUCCUGAGUUAUACUCCUAUUACACACUGUUCUAAUAAGGUCGCUAUUGUUCAAAACUUACCUAUUUCUGGAAUUGGGACAGUUGAAACAUCUACUCUGGCUUUGCCUGCUACUCUUUAUGUGCCCAACUUGUCCUGAACUUAGUUUCUGGUUAUCAAUUAAUCACGUCUGGCUGCAAUGUUGUUUUUGGUGCCUUUAGUUGUGUGGUUCAGGAUCUACAGACAAGGAAGAUAUUGGGACAAGGGAGUCGACAUGGCCAAAAAAAUUAUUUGGAAGCUUUGGAUAUGGGUCGUCAAUCUCGGUCAACCAGCAAUACAGAGCAUUCCAUGAGAUCUUUGAUAUUACUUCGUCUUCUAGUUAUGCAGUUAAACUUAAUUCAGAACAGUUGUGGUACCUAUGGAAUAGUAGAUCGGGAC
rnacentral:lncRNA from 1 species